GGGUAAAGGAAAAAGAAAAGGAAGUGGGGGGAAAAGAAAAGGAAGUGGAAGGGGACGGCCGCCGUCGUGGUCGUUCUCACCAAAGCAUUGUAAGAGGACAAAAGCAUGAAGUUCUUAAGAGAGGCGUUCCGACCAAAGGCUCCUCGCUCGUGCUCCCUAUCUCCUUACACCGAGGAUCGAGAUUUGAGCAUUUUACAAACACAUGCACUUCUUAAGCCCCUGUCCUUUUGUUUGCUGGAUCUGCGGCAUUCAAAUAAUAUUAUACAUGUGAUAAUAAUUAUGAGGUUGAAGGCUCUGACUCUUGACUAGACUGGGCCACUGCAGUACACACCCGAGGACCCCGUUGCUCACCGCGUUAGGAUAGGACAAUAAUUUUUAUGGUUUAUGUGGGAGAAAAAAAAUAAUAAUAAAGAAGUAUGCUUAAACAUUAUUCCUAAGUUCUUGUUAUAAUUAGACUGAUUUCUUUGA